CAAUAAUAAUAACCACUUCAUUCUCCCUCCUUUAUUUUCAGUAGCCGUGAGGACCGAUGGCACUCCUGUCUGGAGCCUAGCAUACACUUGGCGCUCAGUGGACGUCAGUGGGAACAGGAGGCCCGUGUGCUCUCAUUCCCCAGGCCCAUCUUGGUCCAGGGUUGGAAGCGGGGAAUCCUCAUCCGACGGACUUUCUCUCUGCAGAACCUGGGCCUUCAGAGACACACGGCGUUGGCCUUUCUCCGCUUCACAAGGGAGUGCUUGGACACCAGCCCUCGGGUUUCUUUCUCGCCGGUCCGUCCGGUCUCUCCAGGAGAACAAUCUUCCUUUGGAAUUCUCUGCUCCCGCUCUGAAGUGCAUUCCCCUCGCCUCCCCCCGCUUUGCCAUACGCAGUGACCUUGGCAUGUCUGCCAACACUCAACAUCGUGAGGCUUUAUAAACCUCAUAUCUCAGAAGGGGCUGACAUUACAUUACAAGAGGAUCUGUAAACCUCCCCGGGAUGACGGAUGUCUUUUUUAAACAACAGACCAAGACUUCAUUUAAAUUAGUAACAUGGAGAUUAGAGGCGCUCUCUCAGCCCCUGGCUCGGCCACUGCCGCGACGCUGGGAAUAUCAGUCACAUGAAAGCUGUUAAGUUUGAGAUGGAAAUAAAUCUGGGAGCCUGUAAAAACUGUCAGCAGGUCAGGGAAGUUUAUGAACUCUUGCUGUAUCUAAUCAUAAAUCAUCAGAAUAAGCUAAAACUGAGAAGAAAAAUGUCCUCUUUUGUAAUCUAAUGCUGUCUGUUAGGGCAAUAAAACUCAAAUGAAAUGCAUG
rnacentral:lncRNA from 1 species